rnacentral:rRNA from 1 species
CCUAGGGAGGCUGCAGUGGGGAAUAUUGGACAAUGGGCGAAAGCCUGAUCCAGCCAUGCCGCGUGUGUGAAGAAGGCCUUCGGGUUGUAAAGCACUUUCAGUGGGGAAGAAAGCCUUGGGGCUAAUACCCUCGAGGAAGGACAUCACCCACAGAAGAAGCACCGGCUAACUCCGUGCCAGCAGCCGCGGUAAUACGGAGGGUGCGAGCGUUAAUCGGAAUUACUGGGCGUAAAGCGCGCGUAGGCGGUCUGAUAAGCCGGUUGUGAAAGCCCCGGGCUCAACCUGGGAACGGCAUCCGGAACUGUCAGGCUAGAGUGCAGGAGAGGAAGGUAGAAUUCCCGGUGUAGCGGUGAAAUGCGUAGAGAUCGGGAAGAAUACCAGUGGCGAAGGCGGCCUUCUGGACUGACACUGACGCUGAGGUGCGAAAGCGUGGGUAGCAAACAGGAUUAGAUACCCCAGUAGUC